rnacentral:tmRNA from 1 species
GGGGGCGUCACGGUUUCGACGGGAACGUGACCCCGAGAGAGGCAAGCCGAGCGUGGCUCCCGGCUCGUAAAUCCGGGGGUAAAACCAUAGCUGCCAACGAUAACUUGGCGCUGGCUGCCUAACUAGCUUAGGCAACCCGUCCUGCCGGUUGCCCGCUCACGGCGGCUGGACAGGACGUCACUGAGGUGAGCUGGCCCUGGCCCUCGGUCCGGGGGCGAAAGGCGAGACCAAUCGGACUAGCUGUCGCCGGUUUCGUCCGGUCUUCACGGCGGCCGCGAAAAUGCAGGCUGGACUAAGCUUGUAGGCUCUCUCGUCGGCGCUUUUUCGGACGCGGGUUCGACUCCCGCCGCCUCCACCA